rnacentral:rRNA from 1 species
UACGGAGGGUGCGAGCGUUGUCCGGAAUCAUUGGGCGUAAAGGGCGCGUAGGUGGCGGGACAAGCGUGCGGUGAAAGCUCGGGGCUCAACCCCGCGUCGGCCGUGCGAACUGUUUUGCUUGAGCACUGUAGAGGCAGGCGGAAUUCCGGGUGUAGCGGUGGAAUGCGUAAAUAUCACGAGGAACACCGGAUGCGUAAGCGGAUAGCUGGACGGGUACUGACGCUCAGGCACGAAAGCGCGGGGAGCGAACAGG